rnacentral:rRNA from 1 species
UCUGGUGACAAUGGCAAGGAGGUCACACCUGUUCCCAUGCCGAACACAGAAGUUAAGCUCCUUAGCGCCGAUGGUAGUUGGAUUUACGUUC